AUCAUUACCGAGUUAGGGUCUCACCGGCCCGAUCUCCCAACCCUUUGUCUACUUGACCAUCGUUGCUUCGGCGAGCCCGUCCUCACGGACCGCCGGGGGGUCUUUGUACCCCUUGGCCCGCGCUCGUCGAUAGCCCCCAAAUUUAAAAAAUCUUAACUAAACGUGUCUUGAAUCUAAGUAUUAUUGUUAAAUAAAAACAAAACUUUCAACAACGGAUCUCUUGGUUCUGGCAUCGAUGAAGAACGCAGCGAAAUGCGAUAAGUAAUGCGAAUUGCAGAAUUCCAGUGAGUCAUCGAAUCUUUGAACGCACAUUGCGCCCUUUGGUAUUCCGAAGGGCAUGCCUGUUCGAGCGUCAUUAUCACCCCUCAAGCCCUCGGCUUGGUGUUGGACGGUUUGGUGGAGACCCCCCUCGGGUGGGCUUCUACCCCUCCCAAAGACAAUGACGGCGGCCUCGUUGGACCCCCGGUACACUGAGUUCUUCACGGGACACGUAUCGGACACAUGGGUUUACGGGACACGGUCUGCCUCCCCUCAGGGAGAAUCUUUUUUUAUCAAGGUUGACC
rnacentral:rRNA from 1 species